rnacentral:rRNA from 1 species
AUAUGAUUGGUGACUCAUAAUAACUUUACGGAUCACAAUUAAUGUGACAUAUCAUUCAAGUUUCUGACCUAUCAGCUUUAGACGGUAGGGUAUUGGCCUACCGUGGCAAUGACGGGUAACGGGGAAUUAGGGUUCGAUUCCGGAGAGGGAGCCUGAGAAACGGCUACCACAUCUAAGGAAGGCGGCAGGCGCGCAAAUUACCCAAUCCUAAUACAGGGAGGUAGUGACAAGAAAUAACAAUACAGGACUUUUUGGUUUUGUAAUUGGAAUGAGUUAAGUAUAAACCCCUUUACAAGUAUCAAUUGGAGGGCAAGUCUGGUGCCAGCAGCCGCGGUAAUUCCAGCUCCAAUAGCGUAUAUUAAAGUUGUUGCAGUUAAAAAGCUCGUAGUUGGAUUUCUGUUAAUAAUUUAUAUAAAAUAUUUUGAUGAAUAUUUAUAUAAUAUUAACAUAAUUCAUAUUACUAUUUUUUUUAGUAUAUGAAAUUUUACUUUGAGAAAAUUAGAGUGCUUAAAGCAGGCAUAUGCCUUGAAUACUCCAGCAUGGAAUAAUAUUAAAGAUUUUUAUCUUUUUUAUUGGUUCUAAGAUAAGAAUAAUGAUUAAUAGGGACAGUUGGGGGCAUUUGUAUUUAACAGUCAGAGGUGAAAUUCUUAGAUUUGUUAAAGACAAACUAAUGCGAAAGCAUUUGCCAAGGAUGUUUUCAUUAAUCAAGAACGAAAGUUAGGGGAUCGAAGACGAUCAGAUACCGUCGUAGUCUUAACCAUAAACUAUGCCAGCUAG